UACAGAGGUUGCGAGCGUUGUCCGGAAUCACUGGGCGUAAAGGGCGCGUAGGCGGUCUCUUAAGCGUGUGGUGAAAGCCCGGGGCUCAACUCCGGGUCGGCCGUGCGAACUGGGGGACUGGAGCUUGUCAGAGGCAGGCGGAAUUCCGGGUGUAGCGGUGGAGUGCGUAGAGAUCCGGAAGAACACCGGUGGCGAAGGCGGCCUGCUGGGACAGUGCUGACGCUGAGGCGCGACAGCGUGGGGAGCAAACAGG
rnacentral:rRNA from 1 species